UACGUAGGGGGCAAGCGUUGUCCGGAAUCAUUGGGCGUAAAGAGCGUGUAGGCGGCUUGGUAAGUCCGCUGUGAAAGUCCAGGGCUCAACCCUGGAAUGCCGGUGGAAACUGUCAAGCUUGAGUCCGGAAGAGGCGAGUGGAAUUCCUGGUGUAGCGGUGAAAUGCGCAGAUAUCAGGAGGAACACCAAUAGCGAAGGCAGCUCGCUGGGACGGUACUGACGCUAAGGCGCGAAAGCGUGGGGAGCGAACAGG
rnacentral:rRNA from 1 species